GCAAUUCUCCUGCUUCAGCCUCCCAAGUAGCUGGGACUACAGGUGCCUGCCACUACACCCAGCUAAAUUUUGUAUUUUUAGUAGAGAUGGGGUUUCGCCUGUUGCUCAGGCUGGUCUCGAAUUCCUGACCUCAGGUGAUCCACCUGCCCCGACCUCUGAAAGUGCUGGGAUUACAGGCGUGAGUCACCACGCCCAGCCUAGGACACCCAUUUCUUUGUUUGUUUUGUUUGUUUUUUGUUGUUGUUUGUUGUUUUUUUGAGACGGCGUCUCACUCUGUUGCCUAGGCUGGAGUGCGGUGGUGCCAUCUCAGCUCACUGCAACCUCUGCUGGGUUCAAGCGAUUCUCCCUCCUCAGCCUCCCAAGUAGCUGGGACUACAGGCGUGUGCCACCAUGCCCAGCUAAUUUUUGUAUUUUUUGUAGCAAUGGGGUUUCACCAUGUUGGCCAGGCUGGUCUCUAACUCCUGGCCUCAAGUGAUCCACUGCCUUAGUCUCCCAAAGUGCUGGGAUUACAGGCGUGAGUCACCGCGACCAGCCUAGGACACCUAUUUCUUCAAACAUAGGAAGAAACAUCUUAUCUGCAUGAUCCCUCCUGGGGAGCUAUCUUACGGUCUUAUGUGAUAAGGUGACCUCUCCUUUGGGAAACUGAAAAUUCACACAGCAGCCGUGGGAGUCAGAGUAGCAAAGGCUUUGAGAUCACAUAGACCUGGGACACGUGCUUGCUUUGUGAUUACGGGCUUUGUGAGAAAUAUCAGAUCCAUUGCAGGAAAUAAAGAAAAGACAUGUUCUCUGCAGACCCACAUGGCAGGUGCGGGGACUGCUUGCCAACCCAUGGCAACUCACCUGUAGCGCAUGGAGAUUUGGGGGUAAACCCAGUGAUGCUGAGUAUGUGGGCUGCCCAAGCUGGGUGGCAACCAACCCCAGCAUUGAAUGUGCUGAGAGCUGGACCGGUGGAUGUCCCCACUGCCCUGAGGCAGGUCCAGGAGAAGGCUCCUACCUGCUGUGCAGAGGGCAAGCCCCAAGUCAAGACUCCCAAAAUGUUACCAGAUGUCAGGCAUGAAAUAUACACCCCUGGCAAGCUCUGCCAUGCACAGGAGUCAUGCUGCUUUCAAUCCACGGGAGAGCCGGACACGAGCGUUCCAAGGCAGGAGCAGAACUCCAUGUUGGCCAUUAUAAAGACAAGAUUCCUUUUCCCCCGCUUUUUAUAGCCUCUCUGGGUAAGAUGUGUCUGGAAGGAGGUGUGGGCCAGGAAAGAGCAUAUGUCUGAUGCCUGGGAUUCCAGGACAGAAAGUACAGCCGACUCCAAGCUCUUGGGAUGGGAUUGGAGGGUCUCAAAACCUUGCCAGCUUUGGAGUCAGAGAGAAAAGAGUCCCAACCCCAGAUUUAUCAUUUGCUAACAAAUGUGACCUUGGGCAAAUCAGCUCACCUCUCUGGCCCUCAACAGAGAUAAUCCUGGGACCUAUUUCACAGUCAUGGAGAGGAUUAAAUGGGAAGAGGAAUAAAAGGAGUUUGGAGAAGUGCCCAGGACAUAGUAUGCACUGAGCAAAUUCCGUAGUAAGAGGAGUAUUAGUAAUAGCUACUAUUGAUUAGGUGGUGUUGUGAGUUGAACAGUGUUCCCCCAAAAUUCAUGUCCACCCAGAGACACAGAAUGUGACCAUUUGUGGAAAUAGGGUCUUUGCAAAUGUAAUUAGUUAAGAUGAGGUCAUACUAGAUUAGGGUAGGCCCUAAGUCUAAUGACUGGUGUCCUUAUUAGAAGAGGAUAGGGGCUGGGCACAGUGGUUCACACUUGUAAUCCCAGGGCUUUAGGAGGCUGAGACAGGAGGAUGGCUUGAGCCCAGAAGUUCAAGACCAGCCUGGACAACAUACUGAAACCCAUCCAGUCUCUAAAAAAGAAACUAAAAGCCAGGUGCAGUGGCUUACAUCUGUAAUCCUAGAACUUUGGGAGGCUGAGACAGGAGGAUCACUUGAGGCCAGGAGUUCAAGACCGGCCUGGGCAACAUAGCAA
rnacentral:lncRNA from 1 species